UCUCGCCUGCCACGCGGGAGGCCCGG
rnacentral:piRNA from 5 species